UACGUAGGGGCCGAGCGUUGUCCGGAGUUAUUGGGCGUAAAGCGCGCGCAGACGGCCUCGCGCGCCCGACGUGAAAGCCCCCGGCUUAACCGGGGAGGGUCGUUGGGGACGGCGGGGCUUGAGGGCGGGAGAGGUCGGUGGAAUUCCCGGUGUAGUGGUGAAAUGCGUAGAGAUCGGGAGGAACACCUGUGGCGAAGGCGGCCGGACUGGGCCGACCCUGACGCUGAGGCGCGAAGGCGUGGGGGAGCGAACGGG
rnacentral:rRNA from 1 species